rnacentral:miRNA from 1 species
CAUGUGCCUUUCUUCUCCACC